GCGAGGGUUUCCUCCGGCUCGCGAUCGUUAGCAGAACGACGCUGCUCCCCCCUCCUCCCCCAGUUAGCCGGGGGUGGAAUCGGAGAGAAGAAACGACGACGAGGAAGCUCGGACGUUCGUUAAAUUUCGUCUUCGUUAGCGAGAACUCUUCGCCGAUUGUCGGGUCCGUGUAAACACGGGAUCCGGGAUCCAGGAGGCAUGAGGAGCGAGAGGAGACAGGAGGGGGUGAGGAAGCGGAACGAGCGACUUCUUCUGCCCUCCGUCUCGAGGAAAGAAUCCGCCGGAGGAAUCCUACCGGAAGGAAACGAACGAGAGACCUUUUUUACGUCGCGGAACGUCGCCAGGAGGGGAAACAACGCGGAAGAAGAAAGACAAAUGUUGACCUUGCCGGGGACAUUUAACGACGCCAGGCGCCUGGAUCCGCGUUUCGUCUGCCCUCCGCUCCCUUUCGAUCUUAAUGGAAAAGGUAAUCUCUUCGAAUUGCCGCGAUAUAGUCGUUCCCGCCGGAAACUCCACGUUACUUUUCUCAGAUUUUCUUCGAGCCGCUCGUAGACUACCUUAAUUUCAAUUUGCGAGACGCGACGAGCUUCAAGUGCCACCAGGACUCUCGUGUUCUUAACGGCUCUGCUUUUAUAACCGGAAUUGUGAAAGCAGAAGGUUUCCAAGCGUUUGCUCGGUUUUAAUGUUCGUAGAACGUAGUGCGGAUGAACAACAUUCGGCGAAGAACAGCAUUGUAAAUCGUAUUGUUUCUUUGGUGUAAUCAGAUUUUAAUUUCCGAAAUUAAUCAGAAUUUCGGAGGAAAGGCUAAAAAUGGAUAAUAUGUGCUAAUAAAAUCAAAUUUCCUUCUUAAUUCCCGAAUGAUUUCAUAGUCACUUGAACUAUAACGAGACACGUACUCGUUAUAGUUAUUUCACAUAUAAUCUACUUAAUACGAAUGUUAUUUGAUUCUUUUAAAUUAAUUAAAUACAAUUUAAAUCUUCCGUUACCAAAAUCUGGAAACCUCCGGUUUCAUUAGAGAAAUUAUUAACUCAUUGGCGUACCAUUAUCUUUACAAUUUCAAUGAUUUUUUAUCAUAAAAAUUUCUUGGCAGAAAAGAAAGUGCCUACAUUUAUUUAAAUGCUUAAACAUUGGCGAGGAGGGAACGAAAGUUCAGAAUCGACCGUAAAUCACAUUUGACAAGUUACUACUCUAAUCUCCAUUCUGUGUCAGACUCGUUAAAAUACGGCAAGGGGUUAAGAACGAAGAAGUGAUAUUCAAGGCAGCUAUCAAAGAAAUCGUAGUGCAAGGAGUUUACAGAUCUUUCACUGAUAAGUGAACGUAACCUAACAAUGUUUUCCAGAACAAAAACUUCGAGAAGAUCUCCGAACGUCUGUUUCGUAUAGCACACUUUCAAAGAGAUCCGAUACUUUAAAAAAAUGUUGAACGCACCGAUGAACUUCACUUACAAAGAUCGGGAGUGUCGUCGGUGGCUAAUUCCUCAGCGAAGAUCACCGUGUCCCAGUAAACUCGUUACACGGCCGCAAUUCGAGGAACGUAACUUCCGCGCCGGAAGUGCACUUGCACCGGUCUACGCGAAUAGAUUCAGCAGGACGGGAUCGCGCGAGCUUCAUUGAAAAGCAAACGCGUUAUAGGAGGAUACGCCGGAGUCGGGACACGUUCCGACUAAUUAGGAGGUAAACCGAAGCACUUCGAAUCAAUAUGCGCGGCACCGCAGCCACCGUGCGUCGAGGCUAAUAAAUCGCCCUAAAUCCACCAAUCGGAUUCCCCUAAAUCCCGGCGCACGGAUCGGCCGUGCGCCCGCGCUGUUUUUCCAUUCUUUCCAGCUCCGCUUGUCACCCGUCCCGUCGGCGAAAAGAGAAAAAAAUGGAAUCCGACGUUAACUCUUCGAUGACGGAUGAUCUAGGACGAAUGAAGAAUUAGUUCGAGCCGUGGAAAUAUUUCUGAUUGGAAAAAAAUGGAGAUCACUGUCCCGCAGAGAGGAUUCUAAACUAUGAAACCGCAGACGACAUUUUUGCGGACGCCUAACAACUGUUACUCGAAACCUGCGAAAAUUCAGCUGUGAUUCUGUCGAAAAUGUCGAUGGUACGUAGAACUGUAAUAGUUAUAUAUAAUAUAUAUAAUAUAUAUAAGUUAGAAAUAAUAACUGUAGUUCGUAAAUAUCGACUGCAACAUACGUUUUAUUUUUAUCGAAUAAUAAUGAAUUCAUUCACGAUAAAUAAGGGAGAGGGGAUAUAAAUGAAAGUUCACGUGGAGGACGAUAGUUAUUCGUAAUGGACAAUUGAUUAGCUGAGCAAUAUUAUCAAUCAUACGAUUGAUACAAUUGAAAUACCCAUAAUUUGUCUGGUGUUAUUCAGCACGUAACAGGGAGAAAUUACGCAUUUGUCUGAUAGUUACAUUUAAUGAGAAUAAUUCAAUGAUCGAGGGGCAGGAAAUUGGAUCAUUUGAGACCUUGCUCGCGAACACAAUAUCGAACAUUUUCCCCCUAUUAACGUAGAAAACCAUAGGGCAGCCAUGAUGCCGGCAUGGUAAUAUACAACAUGGAUAAUUCUAGCGAGAAAAAUGAAAUAAAAAUGGCUGAGGACUCCCUCCAACUAACGUAAUUUCAGUUUUUCAAAAACAGACAAGAAACGAUAUUGGAAGAAGCAAUUUCUUGCAACUUUGCGGCUUCGGAGUGGCAGUGAGAAAGCGUAUGGAAAUGCGAGUCCCCGUAGAAAAUCGGUUGGAAUUGUACGUAAUCGCAAUUACCGGUCGAGCAAAACUGGCCGGGUCUGCCAAAAGCGACGCUCCUACUCCAAUUAGCGACGCGGUAAUUGCUUCGUAUAGUCUCAAGAAGUCGCAUAAUCACCGACGGCAACACAGAAUUUCGUCGAUUGAGGUGAAACACUGCCCUUAACGGUUCAAAAGAAUCGGUCUUUUCUUUUUGAUUUUCUUAAAGUUUCAAGUGUGUAGAAUGUUGUGUCGAAACGAUAUUUCGAAAUUUCAACAUUUAGCGACGGAAAGUAAAGUUUCUAAAAUCUUACUUUACCAGAGAGAAAAGUUACCUUAAAACUUCUUUCACGCUUUGCUCGAAACUACAGUUUUCAAGCCGUCACGAAAUUUCCGGAACUAUUAUAUCUGAUUCGCUUCAAAUUUUAUGGAGAUGUCCUGAGUCUUGCCAAUUGUGACAGCCAGCAAUCAAUGUUCUACGAGAAGGGAUUUCGGAGACAACGAAUAACUUGUAUAACAAUAAUACCGAAUAAUGUCAUUUUGAAUGGUUUCUACGUAUAAAAAAUUGAAAACCGAA